rnacentral:rRNA from 1 species
CAACCUGCCGAUAACUCCGGGAUAGCCUUUCGAAAGAAAGAUUAAUACCGGAUGGCAUACGAAUAUCGCAUGAUAUUCUUAUUAAAGAAUUUCGAUUAUCGAUGGGGAUGCGUUCCAUUAGUUUGUUGGCGGGGUAACGGCCCACCAAGACUACGAUGGAUAGGGGUUCUGAGAGGAAGGUCCCCCACAUUGGAACUGAGACACGGUCCAAACUCCUACGGGAGGCAGCAGUGAGGAAUAUUGGUCAAUGGGCGCGAGCCUGAACCAGCCAAGUAGCGUGAAGGAUGAAGGCUCUAUGGGUCGUAAACUUCUUUUAUAUGGGAAUAAAGUUUUCCACGUGUGGAAUUUUGUAUGUACCAUAUGAAUAAGGAUCGGCUAACUCCGUGCCAGCAGCCGCGGUAAUACGGAGGAUCCGAGCGUUAUCCGGGUUUAUUGGGUUUAAAGGGAGCGUAGGUGGAUUGUUAAGUCAGUUGUGAAAGUUUGCGGCUCAACCGUAAAAUUGCAGUUGAAACUGGCA